CUGCGAGGUGGGACAGUGAGCCCGUAUAUAUGAAAAUUGCAUUUACCACUUAUUGCUUAGCUAAUAAAAAAUACAUAGUAUACAAUCGGUGACUCAUUAUCAUAUUUAUCCUGAUACCAGAUUCGAUUGACGCGACUCUAACAAUUGGUGACCCCUAACGUGAUCUGGUGAAGGAUUUCGCUGGACAUUGGUGUGCCAGCCGAUUGGCCAGUACUGUCGUCGGACGGUGUGUCUCACAAAUCCUGACCGGUCAACUAAAAAAGGAGGAGGACCUGAGCCCUAGGACCAUGCCUCAGGACUACCUGGCAUGAUGACUCCUUUCUGUUCCCAGUCCACCUGGCCGUGCUGCUGCUCCAGUUUCAACUGUUCUGCCUGCGGCUAUGGAACCCUGACCUGUUCACCGGAUGUGCUACCUGUCCCAGACCUGCUGUUUUCAACUCUCUAGAGACAGCAGGAGAGAGCAGUUGAACACAUUACAUGGUGAGCAGAAAAUGGCGGAAUCUGAUGCUGAGUUUGAAUCUGAUGGCACUAGCAAAGAUGAGAAUGAAGGUGACGACAAUACUGGACGGACAACCGUCACUGAAGGACAGAUAAAGAGAGCUCAAAUCACAAUGAAAAAAACAUCUAAGCCUACUACUAAUUGAUUUUUAGUAUAAUAAGACAAAUACUUCAACUAGGCCUACUUCACAGUUUGUAGUAGCAGCAUGGUUUAAGGAUAAGAAGAUGUACCUGGGAGAUCUGUUUUGAUGUUAAAUGGUGAAUAAUCUGUUGGGUAAAGUGAAAUCUUUGAGGCUGACGAGAACUGGAAUUCUGUAGAUUUUUUUGUGUCGGCAGAACAAAAGGACUAUGCGUUGCGCCUCACCAGAAUCAAGGAGAAAGAGGUGACUGCCAUCGGAGCAGAGCACCAUUGAAGGGUGUUUUUUCUGGAGUCUCUGUGGAAGUUGGAGUGGAGAAGACCAAUAUGAAAAUGUCUGGAGUGUAGUUGGGAGUGAGUAUAGAGCAGACGGCACGGGUCAAAAUUUUGAUUUAUGGCCCUGUGUCCAGAUGAUGCGUACAUGUCCAAAUAUGGGCAUCCGGCCAGGACAUCCUGUUCCUGUUGUCACGUGUUAGAGGGUGUGUUAUUUUAUAUCUAUAUUGCAUCUAUUCCUUUGAAGUUGUCAUGCUGAUUGAUGUCUAGGUACCUGGUUGAACUGGGGGGUUCUGUGUUUGAACUUUUGAAAGAGUAUGGCCCCACACCCCUGUUUUAUUGCCUGUAGGAUUGCUAUCUAUGAAGCAGGAAUGUGUGUGUGUGUGUGUUAGAAACAAGGUCCCUUGGCAUUGUGUACAUUUCACGCUUUCAACAACAAUAAAACAGCCAUCUAAAUAAUGUUUCUCAGCCUAACACUCUGUUGAGUUUCCUAUUUAGUUCUCUUUAUAUGUACAUGCACAGAGCUUCCAGGUGGUUCCAGCCUAUGGAUGUUCGGUGCAUGUACACCAGGGAGAUUAGAACCUAAACAAGAUUUUUAAAAUAAAACCCAGAAUAUUAAACAUAAAAAUAUGUCUCCUAGGCCAAUUCUCGGGGUGCUAUGCGGCUCAUGUCAUGAACCCAAUGACAAAAGCCUGGAGGAUGUUUUGCGUGAGACCCCAGAAUGUUUUAAUGGAGUUAAUGGAGCCCUAAGAAUCGCUUCAAUGGCGUAUACCCCUGACUCCAAAGUGACAAUUUUAGCAUGUGAACAAUUUGAUAGAUUUCGUCGCAUUUGCACUGUCAGUUCAUAUGUAUUUUCCAAAGCAUGCAAGGAUGUAAACUUUUUUUUUAUGCCUGUGUUAAGUUUUAAAUGGCGUGAUUAUCAUAUCUUCAGAACACUUAUGAAUAAGCUGGACAGUCUUUUCCAAAAUCGUGAACAAUUACGGCGAUGGCCGAGGUUAUCGUUGAGACAAACACAGGACUCGCAAGCCAGAAGGAGGAUCUUUCCCUAGAGUGAAAACGUCCGGAGCUUUGAUGGAGCGGGCAAGCGUCUUUGCGAUGGUGAAUUGGAAACGGAUAAUGGUCAGGGCUAACCAGCCCCUUUAUCUGUCAGAAAUAGUAAAAAUGUUGAAUUAUAACGUGUGUUAAAAUGUAUGUACUAAAUAUUUUGAAUUAAAUCAUUGGUUUUAAAAAUGUAUCUCACCCUUUAACGAAAGGGGAAACUGUCUUUUCUCUCAUGCCCUGGUCUGUCGCAGAGAAAUGCAAUGUCUUAAAAAAACAAUGUAUUAUUUUAUAGUCUUUCCUACAAUGGUAUGUUAUAAACAUUACUGGUUAUUAAAGUUUGUAAUGAUUUACAACUGUAGGCCUCCAAUGUUUUUACAUAAAACACUCGUGAUGCAUGUUUAAAUAUUAGUAAAAUUGGGUAAUUAAUUCUAACAUGUCUUUAAAAAGUUUGUACUAAAUAUUUUGGAAUUAAAUAAAAGGUAUUUAAAACAGUAUCUCACCCUUUAACGAUAGGAAAAUGUAUUUUACAUCAUCACUCCGGUCUGUUGCGAAGAAAAAAGACACAGAAAAUCAGGGUGCGUGUGACGGGCCAGCAGGAGUGUGUGUUUCAAAAACAAAGGGGAGGGGUGUGUGUUCAACAAUGCCCAGGCAUCUGCACUCAAGGCCCCUUCUCUCUGUAGGGGAUCGUUUGAAACCAAGGUUUACACUAUCGUGCAUGCAGCAUGUCCAG
ensembl:lncRNA